CUCCCGCCGGCGACCGGCGCACGGGUGAGUAACACGUAUGAAACCUGCCCGUAGCAGGGGGAUAAGCGGAAGAAAUUCCGUCUAAUACCGCGUAACAACCCGAGGAGGCAUCUCCUCGGGUUUAAAGGAAGCGAUUCCGGCUACGGAUGGUCAUGCGUCGCAUUAGCUAGUUGGCGGGGUAACGGCCCACCAAGGCGACGAUGCGUAGGGGUUCUGAGAGGAAGGUCCCCCACACUGGUACUGAGACGCGGACCAGACUCCUACGGAAGGCAGCAG
rnacentral:rRNA from 1 species